GAUGAACGCUAGCUACAGGCUUAACACAUGCAAGUCGCGGGGCAGCAUGGGGGUUGCUUGCAAUCCCCGAUGGCGACCGGCGCACGGGUGAGUAACGCGUAUCCAACCUGCCCUUCACCACGGGAUAACCCGGCGAAAGUCGGACUAAUACCGUAUGUUGUCCAUUGACGGCAUCCGAUUUGGACGAAAGGUUUGGCGGUGAAGGAUGGGGAUGCGUCGGAUUAGCUGGACGGCGGGGUGACGGCCCACCGUGGCGACGAUCGGUAGGGGUUCUGAGAGGAAGGUCCCCCACACUGGAACUGAGACACGGGCCAGACACCUACGGGAGGCAGCAGUGAGGAAUAUUGGUCAAUGGGCGUAAGCCUGAACCAGCCAAGUAGCGUGCAGGAUGACGGCCCUAUGGGUUGUAAACUGCUUUUAUGCGGGGAUAAAGUGGCCCACGUGUGGGUUUUUGCAGGUACCGCAUGAAUAAGGACCGGCUAAUUCCGUG
rnacentral:rRNA from 1 species